AUGAACUUUAUUUUACUCACCAAGGAAGGAAGAGAUUGGAUAAGGGGUGGCAGUUGGUGCUUAUCUUGAGACAGGCAUGUUGAUAUCAAAAUUGGAACGCUGCAAAUGUUAGUUUCCAAGGGCUGCGGUGACAAAUCAUCACAACCUGGGUGGCUUGAAACCACAGAAAUUUAUUCUCUUAUUUAGUUCUGAAAGCCAAAAAGCCAAAAUCAAUCCAAAAGCCUUGGCAAGCUGUUUGGAGUCUCUGAGGGAGAACCUGUUCCAUGCCUUUCUCUUAGCUUCUGGCAAUUGCCAGCAAUCCUUGGCAUCCUUGGCUUGUAGAUGCAUCACUCCAAUCUCUGCCUCUGUCUUCACAUGGUGUUCUCCAUUUUACUCCAUUAUGAUCUCAUCCUAACUUGAUUACAUCUGUAAAGACCCUAUUUCCAAGUAAGCUCAUAUUGACACAUACCAGGGUUUAGGACUUGAAUUUAUCUUUUUGGUGGACACAAUUCAACCUACUGGGUAGAAAUUUUCUUUUCCUUAAGACUAUGACAAAAUAAAGGCUAAACCUGAGAGCAGUUCAAAACACGUGGGAACAUACAAAAUAGACUGAAGAUUCAAAAGAUACGGUCUUCCUUUUCACCUAGCAUUUUAACAUGGAGCAAAAAUGUUUUGUUUCAUCCAAACAUGAUGAUCAAUUUGAGUUUGUUCCACAUGAUACUCUUUUACUAGAAACUAUUGUGCUAAGGAAGAGAAAACUUAAAGGAGAAGAGAAAAAAGGAGGCUAUCAUCUGAAUUCCUUCUAAACUGACGCUACAGCAUUGCCUAAGAUUAAGUUUGUAUAAUCUUUAACAACAUAAAGCUAAACAUAUGUGGUCAAAAUGCCUCUUUUAAAAAAAGAAAGUAAAGUUUUAAGGGAUUUCUCCAUGCUUUUCUAAUUAAAUGAGUUUAUUAAAAAGCUAUACUUUUUCAGCAAUUUCCCCCUAAAAGUUGCAUCGUUUCAUUUAAGAAGUCUUAGCUCAACUGAAUUACUUGGCAUUGCUUCUUUGAGAGUGUCAUUUACCAUAUGAAAAAACAAGUUGCCCAUGAUGAGCAAGGACCUGAGAUGCUUCAGACGGUUUGGCUUCUCUUCUUGGCUACAACUCAGCUCAGCAAAACUGUCAGUCAAGGGCACAAGGAAAAAUAUUUUUAAUUGAUUACCAUUCGAGAAAAGUUGGCCACCAAAACCUUUUAGGGUAUGUCUUCCCAGGCCUGUAAGUCACUCAUUGACAGUCUUAAGCAGCAACAGAUUUCAUUUAAGAAAUAUACUAUAAUUCUUGGCCAAAGGAAUGAAAGUCUUAUGUGGUUCUAGCAUUCUCAUUUUUCUC
rnacentral:lncRNA from 1 species